rnacentral:tRNA from 1 species
CCGAAGGUGGCGGAACUGGUAGCCGCGCUAGCUUCAGGUGUUAGUGUUCUUACGGACGUGGGGGUUCAAGUCCCCCCCCUCGCACCA